CCUACGGGAGGCAGCAGUAGGGAAUCUUCCACAAUGGGCGAAAGCCUGAUGGAGUAACGCCGCGUGGGUGAAGAAGGUCUUCGGAUCGUAACACCCUGUUGUUAGAGAAGAAAGUGCGUGAGAGUAACUGUUCACGUUUCGACGUUAUCUAACCAGACAGCCACGGCUAACUACGUGACAGCAGCCGCGGUAAUACGUGGGUGGCAAGCGUUAUCCGGAUUUAUUGGGCGUAAAGGGAACGCAGGCGGUCUUUUAAGUCUAAUGUGAAAGCCUUGGGUUUAAACGGAGUAGUGCAUGGGAAACUGGGAGACUUGAGUGCAGGAGAGGGGAGUGGAACUCCAGGUGUAGCGGUGAAAUGCGUAGAUAUAUGGAAGAACACCAGUGGCGAAAGCGGCUCUCUGGUCUGUAACUGACGCUGAGGUUCGAAAGCGUGGGUAGCAAACAGGAUUAGAUACCCUUGUAGUC
rnacentral:rRNA from 1 species